rnacentral:rRNA from 1 species
GGUUAAGUGACUAAGCGUACACGGUGGAUGCCUUGGCAGUCAGAGGCGAUGAAAGACGUAGUAACUUGCGAUAAGCCCAGAUUAGGUAGUAACAACCAUUUGAGUCUGGGAUUUCUGAAUGGGGAAACCCACGUGCAUAAGCACGUAUCCUUACCUGAAUACAUAGGGUAAGGAGGCGAACCGGGGGAACUGAAACAUCUAAGUACCCCGAGGAAAAGAAAUCAACCGAGAUUCCGAAAGUAGCGGCGAGCGAAAUUGGACUAGCCCUUAAGCUUUACACGCGUUAGACGAACGGUCUGGAAAGUCCGACGAUACAGGGUGAUAGUCCCGUAGUUGACGACGUGUGUUCAGUGAAAUCGAGUAGGGCGGGACACGUGAUAUCCUGUCUGAAUAUGGGGGGACCAUCCUCCAAGGCUAAAUACUACUGACUGACCGAUAGUGAACCAGUACCGUGAGGGAAAGGCGAAAAGAACCCCUGUGAGGGGAGUGAAAUAGAACCUGAAACCGUGUACGUACAAGCAGUAGGAGCAGGCUUUGUCCUGUGACUGCGUACCUUUUGUAUAAUGGGUCAGCGACUUAUAUUCAGUGGCAAGGUUAACCAUCUAGGGGAGCCGUAGGGAAACCGAGUCUUAACUGGGCGUUCAGUCUCUGGAUAUAGACCCGAAACCAGGUGAUCUAGCCAUGGGCAGGUUGAAGGUUGAGUAACAUCAACUGGAGGACCGAACCGACUAAUGUUGAAAAAUUAGCGGAUGACUUGUGGCUAGGGGUGAAAGGCCAAUCAAACCUGGAGAUAGCUGGUUCUCCCCGAAAGCUAUUUAGGUAGCGCCUCGGACGAAUACUACUGGGGGUAGAGCACUGUUAAGGCUAGGGGGUCAUCCCGACUUACCAACCCUUUGCAAACUCCGAAUACCAGUAAGUACUAUCCGGGAGACACACGGCGGGUGCUAACGUCCGUCGUGGAGAGGGAAACAACCCAGACCGCCAGCUAAGGUCCCAAAUUACUACUAAGUGGGAAACGAUGUGGGAAGGCUCAGACAGCCAGGAUGUUGGCUUAGAAGCAGCCAUCAUUUAAAGAAAGCGUAAUAGCUCACUGGUCGAGUCGGCCUGCGCGGAAGAUGUAACGGGGCUAAGUAGUAAACCGAAGCUGCGGCAAUAUACUUUUGUAUAUUGGGUAGGGGAGCGUUCUGUAAGCGGUUGAAGGUGUGUGGUAACGCAUGCUGGACGUAUCAGAAGUGCGAAUGCUGACAUGAGUAACGAUAAAGGGGGUGAAAAACCUCCUCGCCGGAAGACCAAGGGUUCCUGUCCAACGUUAAUCGGGGCAGGGUAAGUCGACCCCUAAGGCGAGGCCGAAAGGCGUAGUCGAUGGGAAACGGGUUAAUAUUCCCGUACUUCUUACAAUUGCGAUGGGGGGACGGAGAAGGCUAGGUGGGCCUGGCGACGGUUGUCCAGGUUCAAGUGCGUAGGCUUAAGAGUUAGGUAAAUCCGGCUCUUUCUAAGGCUGAGACACGACGUCGAGCACCUACGGGUGUGAAGUCAUUGAUGCCAUGCUUCCAGGAAAAGCCUCUAAGCUUCAGAUUGUAAGGAAUCGUACCCCAAACCGACACAGGUGGUCGGGUAGAGAAUACCAAGGCGCUUGAGAGAACUCGGGUGAAGGAACUAGGCAAAAUGGUACCGUAACUUCGGGAGAAGGUACGCUCUCGACGGUGAAGUCCCUUGCGGAUGGAGCUAUUGAGAGUCGCAGAUACCAGGUGGCUGCAACUGUUUAUUAAAAACACAGCACUGUGCAAAAUCGUAAGAUGACGUAUACGGUGUGACGCCUGCCCGGUGCCGGAAGGUUAAUUGAUGGGGUUAGACUUCGGUCGAAGCUCUUGAUCGAAGCCCCGGUAAACGGCGGCCGUAACUAUAACGGUCCUAAGGUAGCGAAAUUCCUUGUCGGGUAAGUUCCGACCUGCACGAAUGGCGUAAUGAUGGCCACGCUGUCUCCACCCGAGACUCAGUGAAAUUGAAAUCGCUGUGAAGAUGCAGUGUACCCGCGGCUAGACGGAAAGACCCCGUGAACCUUUACUACAGCUUGGCACUGAACAUUGACCCUACAUGUGUAGGAUAGGUGGGAGGCUUUGAAGCACGUACGCCAGUAUGUGUGGAGCCGUCCUUGAAAUACCACCCUUGUAGUGUUGAUGUUCUAACGUCGACCCCUAAUCGGGGUUGCGGACAGUGCCUGGUGGGUAGUUUGACUGGGGCGGUCUCCUCCCAAAGAGUAACGGAGGAGCACGAAGGUGGGCUAAUCACGGUUGGACAUCGUGAGGUUAGUGCAAUGGCAUAAGCCCGCUUGACUGCGAGAAUGACAAUUCGAGCAGGUGCGAAAGCAGGUCAUAGUGAUCCGGUGGUUCUGAAUGGAAGGGCCAUCGCUCAACGGAUAAAAGGUACUCCGGGGAUAACAGGCUGAUACCGCCCAAGAGUUCAUAUCGACGGCGGUGUUUGGCACCUCGAUGUCGGCUCAUCACAUCCUGGGGCUGAAGUCGGUCCCAAGGGUAUGGCUGUUCGCCAUUUAAAGUGGUACGCGAGCUGGGUUUAGAACGUCGUGAGACAGUUCGGUCCCUAUCUGCCGUGGGCGUUGGAAGAUUGAAGGGGGCUGCUCCUAGUACGAGAGGACCGGAGUGGACGAACCUCUGGUGUUCGGGUUGUGUCGCCAGACGCAUUGCCCGGUAGCUAAGUUCGGAAUCGAUAACCGCUGAAAGCAUCUAAGCGGGAAGCGAGCCCUGAGAUGAGUCUUCCCUGAUACUUUAAGUAUCCUAAAGGGUUGUCGGAGACUACGACGUUGAUAGGUCAGGUGUGUAAGUGCUGUGAGGCAUUGAGCUAACUGAUACUAAUUGCCCGUGAGGCUUAACCAU